rnacentral:rRNA from 1 species
AGAGUUCGAUUAUGGCUCAGGAUGAACGCUAGCGACAGGCUUAACACAUGCAAGUCGAGGGGCAGCGGGGGUAGCAAUACCCGCCGGCGACCGGCGCACGGGUGAGUAACGCGUAUGCAACUUACCUAUCAGAGGGGGAUAACCCGGCGAAAGUCGGACUAAUACCGCAUGAAGCAGGGGCCCCGCAUGGGGAUAUUUGCUAAAGAUUCAUCGCUGAUAGAUAGGCAUGCGUUCCAUUAGGCAGUUGGCGGGGUAACGGCCCACCAAACCGACGAUCAGUAGCCGGCCUGAGAGGGCGACCGGCCACAUUGGGACUGAGACACGGCCCAA